rnacentral:rRNA from 1 species
UACGGGGGGGGGCAAGCGUUGUUCGGAAUUACUGGGCGUAAAGGGCUCGUAGGUGGCCAACUAAGUCGGACGUGAAAUCCCUCAGCUUAACUGGGGAACCGCGUCCGAUACUGGAUGGCUUGAGUUUGGGAGAGGGAUGCGGAAUUCCAGGUGUAGCGGUGAAAUGCGUAGAUAUCUGGAGGAACACCGGUGGCGAAGGCGGCAUCCUGGACCAACACUGACACUGAGGAGCGAAAGCCAGGGGAGCAAACGGG